UACGUAGGGGGCAAGCGUUGUCCGGAUUUAUUGGGCGUAAAGAGCGUGUAGGCGGCCAGGUAGGUCAGCUGUGAAAACUCGAGGCUCAACCUCGAGACGUCGGUUGAAACCACUUGGCUAGAGUCCGGAAGAGGAGAGUGGAAUUCCUGGUGUUGCGGUGAAAUGCGCAGAUAUCAGGAAGAACACCCGUGGCGAAGGCGGCUCUCUGGGACGGUACUGACGCUGAGACGCGAAAGCGUGGGGAGCGAACAGG
rnacentral:rRNA from 1 species